rfam:Myotis brandtii contig226593, whole genome shotgun sequence.
GGUGGUUCUCGGGUGACAUAUCCCAGAGUCGGGCUCCCUCUUCUCUGGUUUCCAGUUUGUCACCCGAGAACCACA